rnacentral:rRNA from 1 species
AGCGAACGCUGGCGGCAGGCCUAACACAUGCAAGUCGAACGAAGUCUUCGGACUUAGUGGCGGACGGGUGAGUAACACGUGGGAACGUGCCUUUAGGUUCGGAAUAACUCAGGGAAACUUGUGCUAAUACCGACUGUGCCCUUCGGGGGAAAGAUUUAUCGCCUUUAGAUAGGCCCGCGUCUGAUUAGCUAGUUGGCGAGGUAAAGGCUCAACAAGGCGACGAUCAGUAGCUGGUCUGAGAGGAUGAUCAGCCACAUUGGGACUGAGAAACGGCCCAAACUCCUACGGGAGGCAGCAGUGGGGAAUCUUGCGCAAUGGGCGAAAGCCUGACGCAGCCAUGCCGCGUGAAUGAUGAAGGUCUUAGGAUUGUAAAAUUCUUUCACCGGGGACGAUAAUGACGGUACCCGGAGAAGAAGCCCCGGCUAACUUCGUGCCAGCCGCCGCGGUAAAAC